GACAGAGGGGGCAAGCGUUGCUCGGAAUCACUGGGCGUAAAGGGCGCGUAGGCGGGAUGGCAAGUCAGUCGUGAAAUCUCUCGGCUCAACCGAGAAACGUCGGCUGAUACUGCCGUUCUUGAGGGAUGCAGAGGAGACUGGAAUUCCUGGUGUAGCGGUGAAAUGCGCAGAUAUCAGGAAGAACACCCGUGGCGAAGGCGGUUCUCUGGGACGGUACUGACGCUGAGACGCGAAGCGUGGGAGCAACAGG
rnacentral:rRNA from 1 species